rnacentral:rRNA from 1 species
GAGGAAUUUUGCGCAAUGGGGGAAACCCUGACGCAGCAACGCCGCGUGAGUGAUGAAGGCUUUCGGGUCGUAAAGCUCUGUCGAGUGGGAAGAAACAGCAGUGGUUAAUAUCCAUUGCCUUGACGGUACCACUAAAGGAAGCACCGGCUAACUCCGUGCCAGCAGCCGCGGUAAUACGGGGGGUGCAAGCGUUAUUCGGAAUUAUUGGGCGUAAAGGGUGCGUAGGCGGUUUUGUAAGUCAGAUGUUAAAUGCCGGGGCUUAACCUCGGAACUGCAUUUGAUACUGCAAGACUUGAGUAUGGGAGAGGGAAGCGGAAUUCCUGGUGUAGAGGUGGAAUUCGUAGAUAUCAGGAGGAACACCGGUGGCGAAGGCGGCUUCCUGGACCAAUACUGACGCUGAGGCACGAAGGCGUGGGGAGCAAAC